rnacentral:rRNA from 1 species
AGUGAACGCUGGCGGUAGGCCUAACACAUGCAAGUCGAACGGCAGCACAGUAAGAGCUUGCUCUUACGGGUGGCGAGUGGCGGACGGGUGAGGAAUACAUCGGAAUCUACUUUUUCGUGGGGGAUGACGUAGGGAAACUUACGCUAAUACCGCAUACGACCUACGGGUGAAAGCAGGGGAUCUUCGGACCUUGCGCGAUUGAAUGAGCCGAUGUCGGAUUAGCUAGUUGGCGGGGUAAAGGCCCACCAAGGCGACGAUCCGUAGCUGGUCUGAGAGGAUGAUCAGCCACACUGGAACUGAGACACGGUCCAGACUCCUACGGGAGGCAGCAGUGGGGAAUAUUGGACAAUGGGCGCAAGCCUGAUCCAGCCAUACCGCGUGGGUGAAGAAGGCCUUCGGGUCGUAAAGCCCUUUUGUUGGGAAAGAAAAGCAGCAGGUUAAUACCCCGCUGUUCUGACGGUACCCAAAGAAUAAGCACCGGCCAACUUCGUG